rnacentral:rRNA from 1 species
UAAUACGGAGGGGGCUAGCGUUGUUCGGAAUUACUGGGCGUAAAGGGCGUGUAGGCGGUUCGAUCAGUCAGGCGUGAAAGCCCUGGGCUCAACCCAGGAACUGCGCUUGAAACUGUCGAACUUGAGUUCGGGAGAGGGUAGUGGAAUUCCCAGUGUAGAGGUGAAAUUCGUAGAUAUUGGGAAGAACACCAGUGGCGAAGGCGGCUACCUGGACCGAUACUGACGCUAAGGCGCGAAAGCGUGGGGAGCAAACAGGAUUAGAUACCCUGGUAGUCCACGCCGUAAACGAUGUCUGCUAGAUGUUGGGGGGCGUAGCCCUUCAGUGUCGCAGCUAACGCACUAAGCAGACCGCCUGGGGAGUACGGCCGCAAGGCUA